GGAGUUUGGACCGUGUCUCAGUUCCAAUGUGGGGGACCUUCCUCUCAGAACCCCUACUGAUCGCAGGCUUGGUGGGCCGUUACCCCGCCAACAACCUAAUCAGACGCAUCCCCAUCCCAUAGCGGUGAACCUUUGGUAUUCCUCAGAUGUCAUCGAAAUACAACAUAGAGCAUUAAUCCGACUUUCGCCGGGCUAUUCUCUACUAUGGGGAAGGUUGGAUACGCGUUACUCACCCGUGCGCCGGUCGUCAGCAAGAAAAGCAAGCUUUCCUCCUGUUACCCCUCGACUUGCAUGUGUUAAGCCUGUAGCUAGCGUUCAUC
rnacentral:rRNA from 1 species